rnacentral:rRNA from 1 species
CGGUGAAGCCCAGCUUGCUGGGUGGAUCAGUGGCGAACGGGUGAGUAACACGUGAGCAACCUGCCCCUGACUCUGGGAUAAGCGCUGGAAACGGCGUCUAAUACUGGAUAUGUGACGUGACCGCAUGGUCUGCGUCUGGAAAGAAUUUCGGUUGGGGAUGGGCUCGCGGCCUAUCAGCUUGUUGGUGAGGUAAUGGCUCACCAAGGCGUCGACGGGUAGCCGGCCUGAGAGGGUGACCGGCCACACUGGGACUGAGACACGGCCCAGACUCCUACGGGAGGCAGCAGUGGGGAAUAUUGCACAAUGGGCGCAAGCCUGAUGCAGCAACGCCGCGUGAGGGACGACGGCCUUCGGGUUGUAAACCUCUUUUAGCAGGGAAGAAGCGAAAGUGACGGUACCUGCAGAAAAAGCGCCGGCUAACUACGUGCCAGCAGCCGCGGUAAUACGUAGGGCGCAAGCGUUAUCCGGAAUUAUUGGGCGUAAAGAGCUCGUAGGCGGUUUGUCGCGUCUGCUGUGAAAUCCGGAGGCUCAACCUCCGGCCUGCAGUGGGUACGGGCAGACUAGAGUGCGGUAGGGGAGAUUGGAAUUCCUGGUGUAGCGGUGGAAUGCGCAGAUAUCAGGAGGAACACCGAUGGCGAAGGCAGAUCUCUGGGCCGUAACUGACGCUGAGGAGCGAAAGGGUGGGGAGCAAACAGGCUUAGAUACCCUGGUAGUCCACCCCGUAAACGUUGGGAACUAGUUGUGGGGUCCAUUCCACGGAUUCCGUGACGCAGCUAACGCAUUAAGUUCCCCGCCUGGGGAGUACGGCCGCAAGGCUAAAACUCAAAGGAAUUGACGGGGACCCGCACAAGCGGCGGAGCAUGCGGAUUAAUUCGAUGCAACGCGAAGAACCUUACCAAGGCUUGACAUAUACGAGAACGGGCCAGAAAUGGUCAACUCUUUGG